rnacentral:rRNA from 1 species
UCCGACAGCUAAGCUUAGGGGGCCUUAGGGGGCGCGCGUGCCCGCCGGAGCGGUCCGACAGCUGUACACUUAUUUUGCUAAAGGCAAAAGACAUAGCCGUAGUUAUAAAAUUUUAGUAAUAUAAAUAAAUACAAAUACUUCAUAUCUUUUUUCCAAUUUGCUAUUUUGUAGAUGCGAGGUUGUAGAAUGCUCCCAACCACUCCGGGGGCGUUUGCCCUAGACGCCCCCGAAUCGUUCCGGGGUCGAUCCAGGCGCGCUCUACGGUCGAUUUGGAGGCGAUCGGUGUAUGUACCUCGCCGCCGGCGGACCCCUAUGGACCCUCCAAAAUCGAGUGGUCCCAGGGGGGCCGUUUUCUAGAAAUGGACCCUCUGGCCAAAGACCCUCUGGGCCAUUUUCACAAAAUGGACCCUCUGGCCGAGGGGCCACGGCCCCCCUAGGGGGGCCAUUUGGGGCCGAAAAAAAAAAGUGCUCCAAAUCGCUCCGGGGUCGAUCCAGGCGCGCUCUACGGUCGAUUUGGAGGCGAUCGGUGUAUGUACCUCGCCGCCGGCGGACCCCUAUGGACCCUCCAAAAUCGAGUGGUCCCCAUGGUCUGAUAGUUCCGCCCUUGUAUUUUUUCAUUUUUGAGGCCGCCAGAAUAUAUUUUAUGCAAAUCCCUUUAUAUCUAUAUCAUUUUCCACGGGAAUGGGUGCGUCUUCGCGGCGAACGGGCCCUUCUCAACAAAAAAAUAAUAAAGUUGCCCCGAUCCGGCUGUGGACCUCACACGUGACUACUACCACUCCCCUAUACCCCCCCCAGAGGUGCCAGAUCGAAAGCACCCCUACCCGCCGACUUAUGCCCCCUUCGAGUUUUGAAAUCAAAAAAAUUUUGACUAAGUCCGCGUUUUUGUUCUGUUCGAGCCUCUGCGAAACGUCAAUUUUGCGGGCGUCAAGCCCACUUUCGACUGGACCCAUACAAAUUUCGUGCAAAAUCGGACCCGACUGGGCCCACUCCACCCAUCGCGUGCGAGGUCGCUUAAACAGACCUCGGUGAGUAUAUGUAGGGUGAGGUGAUUCCGAAAAACAAAAAAGUGGGCGAAGGGUAUCUUCUCUACGUUUAGCGGUUGACCUUCAUUCUAGCUAUGGUUCUGGGGGCAUUCGUGGGCUUGGGCGCGGCUGGUUGGGCGUUGGCUAGUUAGGAUUUUUUAACUAAGAUUUAGCGGCUCGCCUGUCUGUAAUUCGUGCUCUUAGGUUUCUUGUUCGCUGAGAUCGGCUCUCGAUGUCAAGGCUUCCAGCCCUGGGUUGGGCUUUCGACGUUCGGGGCGGUUCUGCGGCCCUCGGCGGCCUCAUGGCUCGGCUGAGGGUUGCCCGAAUGCCUAACGUUCUCGUACGAUAGGUUUCGAUGGGGCUUGUCGAUUGUUGGCCGCUGGCCAGCGCUGACAUCCCUAACUUCCGGGGGGGAGGUCGACCUCGAUAUCCGCCGACGCUUUAGCGGCGUCGGCGUGUUCGGGCGUCGAUUCCCUCCUUCCGCUCCCCCAAUGCCGCAGGGGCCGGGCACGACGUGUCUUUGGCCGCCAAAGCCUGCGCGCGGAGGAUGGAGGGAAAACUGCAGUGGGGGCAAUCGAAUGCCCGGUUCUUUCGAGCGGUACGCCGCCUCGCAGAGAUUCGGGCGGGCCCGUAUGCCUCGCGCGUUGGGCCCCGACCUCGAUUUGAUCACUUCUCGGGCGCGGCCAGCCGUGCUGCCCGCCCGACGCCAGAUCCGCGGGCACCCCAGCCGGGUGCCCCGGGGGCGGCGGCAGGUGAGAUAUCUGGUUGAUUCUGCCAGUAGUCAUAUGCUUGU